rnacentral:rRNA from 1 species
CGGAGGAUCCAAGCGUUAUCCGGAUUCAUUGGGUUUAAAGGGUGCGUAGGCGGACUGAUAAGUCAGCGGUGAAAUCUCUCGGCUUAACCGAGAAACUGCCGUUGAUACUGUCAGUCUUGAGUACAGAUGAUGUGGGCGGAAUAUGACAUGUAGUGGUGAAAUACUUAGAUAUGUCAUAGAACACCGAUUGCGAAGGCAGCUCACAAAACUGUCACUGACGCUGAUGCACGAAAGCGUGGGGAUCAAACAGGAUUAGAUACCCUGGUAGUCCACGCCCUAAACGAUGAUUACUCGAUGUUGGCGAUACACCGUCCAGCGUCCAAGCGAAAGCGUUAAGUAAUCCACCUGGGGAGUACGGCCGCAAGGCUG